rnacentral:rRNA from 1 species
GAUGAACGCUGGCGGCGUGCCUAAUACAUGCAAGUCGAGCGAACGGACGAGAAGCUUGCUUCUCUGAUGUUAGCGGCGGACGGGUGAGUAACACGUGGAUAACCUACCUAUAAGACUGGGAUAACUUCGGGAAACCGGAGCUAAUACCGGAUGAUAUUUUGAACCGCAUGGUUCACAAGUGAAAGACGGUCUUGCUGUCACUUAUAGAUGGAUCCGCGCUGCAUUAGCUAGUUGGUAAGGUAACGGCUUACCAAGGCAACGAUGCAUAGCCGACCUGAGAGGGUGAUCGGCCACACUGGAACUGAGACACGUUCCAGACUCCUACGGGAGGCAGCAGUAGGGGAUCUUCCGCAAUGGGCGAAAGCCUGACGGAGCAACGCCGCGUGAGUGAUGAAGGUCUUCGGAUCGUAAAACUCUGUUAUUAGGGAAGAACAUAUGUGUAAGUAACUGUGCACAUCUUGACGGUACCUAAUCAGAAAGCCACGGCUAACUACGUG